UCGGCCUGGUGGCGAGUGGUGAACGGGUGAGUAAUGCAUCGGAACGUGCCCAUGUUGUGGGGGAUAACUACGCGAAAGCGUAGCUAAUACCGCAUAAGCCCUGAGGGGGAAAGCGGGGGAUUCUUCGGAACCUCGUGCGAUUGGAGCGGCCGAUGUCGGAUUAGCUAGUAGGUGAGGUAAAGGCUCACCUAGGCGACGAUCCGUAGCGGGUCUGAGAGGAUGAUCCGCCACACUGGGACUGAGACACGGCCCAGACUCCUACGGGAGGCAGCAGUGGGGAAUUUUGGACAAUGGGCGCAAGCCUGAUCCAGCCAUGCCGCGUGAGUGAAGAAGGCCUUCGGGUUGUAAAGCUCUUUCGGCCGGGAAGAAAUCGCAUUCUCUAAUAUAGGAUGUGGAUGACGGUACCGGACUAAGAAGCACCGGCUAACUACGUGCCAGCAGCCGCGGUAAUACGUAGGGUGCGAGCGUUAAUCGGAAUUACUGGGCGUAAAGCGUGCGCA
rnacentral:rRNA from 1 species